rnacentral:rRNA from 1 species
UACGGGGGGGGCAAGCGUUGUUCGGAAUUACUGGGCGUAAAGGGCUCGUAGGCGGCCAACUAAGUCCGACGUGAAAUCCCCAGGCUUAACCUGGGAACUGCGUCGGAUACUGGAUGGCUUGAAUUCGGGAGAGGGAUGCAGAAUUCCAGGUGUAGCGGUGAAAUGCGUAGAUAUCGGGAGGAACACCAGUGGCGAAGGCGGCGACCUGGGCAGAUACUGACGCUGAGGUGCGAAAGCGUGGGGAGCAAACAGG